GUGCUUUUUUAAAACUUUAUUUUCCAGAUAAGGAGAGGUAGACUCAGGGUCUGAAUCCACAAUUGUCUGGAGCAGCUGGUCUCAGCCUGUG